rnacentral:rRNA from 1 species
AAGUAAGGGCAUCUGGUGGAUGCCUUGGCACUGAGAGGCGAUGAAGGACGUGGCACGCUGCGAAAAGCCCGGGGGAGAUGCGAGCGAUCGUUGAUCCCGGGAUCUCCGAAUGGGGCAACCCACCCGCGAGGGUAUCCCUGGCUGAAUUCAUAGGUCAGGGAGGCGAACCCGGCGAACUGAAACAUCUCAGUAGCCGGAGGAAAGGACAUCAACCGAGACUCCGCGAGUAGUGGCGAGCGAAAGCGGACCAGGCCAGUGGCUUGUGAUUUUGGUACCGGAAGCGUCUGGAAAGGCGGGCCGGAGCGGGUGACAGCCCCGUACGGGAAACCGGAUUGCAAGUCCUUGAGUAGGGCGGGACACGAGCCAUCCUGUCUGAACAUGGGGGGACCACCCUCCAAGCCUAAGUACUCCUCAGUGACCGAUAGUGAACCAGUACCGUGAGGGAAAGGUGAAAAGCACCGGGAUGACCGGGGUGAAACAGUUCCUGAAACCGGAUGCCUACAAGCAGUCGGAGCCCUGUGUGUCUUCGGACAUUGGGGUGACGGCGUACCUUUUGUAUAAUGGGUCAGCGAGUUGGUCUUCGUAGCGAGCUUAAGCCGGUAGGCGUAGGCGCAGCGAAAGCGAGUCCGAAACGGGCGUAUAGUUACGGGGAUCAGACCCGAAACCGGGUGAUCUAGCCAUGGGCAGGUUGAAGGUGCGGUAACACGCACUGGAGGACCGAACCCACGACUGUUGCAAAAGUCGGGGAUGACCUGUGGCUAGGGGUGAAAGGCCAAUCAAACUCGGAAAUAGCUGGUUCUCCGCGAAAUCUAUUGAGGUAGAGCGUCAGGCGCUCACCGCCGGGGGUAGAGCACUGGAUGGGCUAGGGGGGCGCGAGCCUUACCAAACCUAACCAAACUCCGAAUACCGGCGAGUGGAGCCUGGCAGCCAGACGGCGGGUGCUAAGGUCCGUCGUCGAGAGGGAAACAGCCCAGACCGCCAGCUAAGGUCCCCAAGUCAUGGCUAAGUGGGAAAGGAUGUAGGACGACCAAGACAACCAGGAGGUUGGCUUAGAAGCAGCCAUCCUUUAAAGAAAGCGUAAUAGCUCACUGGUCUAGACAAGUUGUCCCGCGCCGAAAAUGUAACGGGGCUGAAGCCAUGCACCGAAGCUGCGGGUGUUGGGAGCCGCUGGCUCCCGACGCGGUAGCGGAGCGUUCCGUAGGCCGGUGAAGGCGUGCCGUGAGGCAUGCUGGAGGUAUCGGAAGUGCGAAUGCUGACAUGAGUAGCGUCAACGAGGGUGAGAAACCCUCGCGCCGAAAGUCCAAGGGUUCCUGCGCAAGGUUAAUCCGCGCAGGGUUAGCCGGCCCCCUAAGGCGAGGGCGAGAGCCGUAGCCGAUGGGAAUGGGGUUAAUAUUCCCCAGCCUGCCGGGGCGCGACGAAGGUGUAAGCGUGUCGUCCCUUAUCGGAUUGGGGCGGCUGUGGCCAUCUUCCAGGAAACAGCGCCCCGGUAAACGGCGGCCGUAACUAUAACGGUCCUAAGGUAGCGAAAUUCCUUGUCGGGUAAGUUCCGACCUGCACGAAUGGCGUAACGACUUCCCCGCUGUCUCCAACACCGGCUCAGCGAAAUUGAAUUCUCCGUGAAGAUGCGGAGUACCCGCGGUCAGACGGAAAGACCCCGUGCACCUUUACUACAGCUUUGCAGUGGUGUUAGGGAUCGUAUGUGUAGGAUAGGUGGGAGCCGAUGAAGCCCUGGCGCCAGUUGGGGUGGAGGCACCCUUGAAAUACCACCCUUACGGUCUCUGACAUCUAACCGCGGCCCGUGAACCCGGGUCCGGGACCCUGCAUGGCGGGUAGUUUGACUGGGGCGGUCGCCUCCCAAAGAGUAACGGAGGCGCGCGAUGGUGGGCUCAGGCUGGUCGGAAAUCAGCCCGUGAGUGCAAUGGCAUAAGCCCGCCUGACUGCGAGAGCGACAGCUCGAGCAGAGACGAAAGUCGGCCAUAGUGAUCCGGUGGUCCCGCGUGGAAGGGCCAUCGCUCAACGGAUAAAAGGUACGCCGGGGAUAACAGGCUGAUGACGCCCAAGAGUCCAUAUCGACGGCGUCGUUUGGCACCUCGAUGUCGGCUCAUCGCAUCCUGGGGCUGGAGCAGGUCCCAAGGGUAUGGCUGUUCGCCAUUUAAAGCGGUACGUGAGCUGGGUUUAGAACGUCGUGAGACAGUUCGGUCCCUAUCUGCCGUGGGUGUUUGAGACUUGCGAGGCGCUUUCCCUAGUACGAGAGGACCGGGAAGGACGCACCUCUGGUGUACCGGUUGUGGCGCCAGCCGCACCGCCGGGUAGCUACGUGCGGACGGGAUAACCGCUGAACGCAUCUAAGCGGGAAACCCUCCUCAAAACCAGGUCUCGCCGAGAGCCGUGGUAGACCACCACGUCGAUAGGCCGGAGGUGGAAGCGGGGCAACCCGCGCAGCCAACCGGUACUAAU